rnacentral:misc_RNA from 1 species
UCCGGCUUGACGCCGGCGGUCUGACUAGAGUGCCCGGCUUUCCCGCUGGCAACUAGUCACAGGGGUUUCGCUCGUUACGGGACUGAACCCAACAUCUCGCGACACGAGCUGACGACAGCCAUGCAGCACCUGUGCACGUUGUACCUUGCGGCCUCGCCGACGUUUCCGCCGGUUAAUCCGUGCAUGUCAAGCCCGGGAUAAGGUUUUGCGCGUAGCCUCGAAUUAAGCCACAUGCUCCACCGCUUGUGUGAGCCCCCGUCAAUUCCUUUGAGUUUCAGCCUUGCGACCAUACUCCCCAGGCGGGGCACUUCACGCUUUCGCUACGGCAGGGAGCCCAUCGGCGAGCCCCCUACCCAGUGCCCAUGGUUUACGGCCAGGACUAC